UAUUUGGUGUAAAGAGAAUACAAUAAU
rnacentral:sRNA from 1 species